UUAGGGCUCAUGUUGAAAAAUUCACCAUUUACACGUAUUAAAUUAGAAAUCUUGAACAAAUAUCUUACCUGUACACUCUGAAAAGAACAGUAAAUUGUUAAUACAUGAAGCUUGUGUGAUAGCAUCCACAUUGUUUAAAGGAAUGGACUUAAAGUGGAAGGAGCUUUUUCAAAGCGUAGCAUACACGUACAUUAUACUCUGGCCGAUUCAGUGGCCGCAUUGUAGACAUAACUAUUUUGUUUGCUUUGGAAAACUUUUUUAAGUGGAUGGCCAAAAAAUCCAUACAGAAAGCAAUUGUUGCCAGCACCAGAAGUAGGAGAAUUCCCAGUGUAACUCCAAUAACUGCACCUGCGUCAGUACCAUGAGCUGAGGUCCAAUUCUGAUGGACAGUGAUUCUGACUACGGAGAGAGGGUAGUCCACCACACAUUGGUAUACUGCCAUGUCACUAGGGCUG